AUUGAACGCUGGCGGCAGGCCUAACACAUGCAAGUCGAGCGAGCGGCGGACGGGUGAGUAAUGUCUGGGAAACUGCCUGAUGGAGGGGGAUAACUACUGGAAACGGUAGCUAAUACCGCAUACCAUCAGAUGUGCCCAGGUGGGAUUAGCUAGUAGGUGGGGUAACGGCUCACCUAGGCGACGAUCCCUAGCUGGUCUGAGAGGAUGACCAGCCGCGCUGGAACUGAGACACGGUCCAGGCUCCUACGAGAGGCAGCAGUGGGGCGUAUUGCACAAUAGGCGCAAGCCUGAUGCAGCCAUGCCACGUGUGUGAAGAAGGCCUUAGGGUUGUGAGGCACUUUCAACGGGGAGGCGUUACCCGCAGAAGGAGCACCGACUGACUCCGUGCCAGCAGCCGCGGUAAUAC
rnacentral:rRNA from 1 species